rnacentral:rRNA from 1 species
UACAGAGGGUGCGAGCGUUAAUCGGAAUUACUGGGCGUAAAGCGCGCGUAGGUGGUUCGUUAAGUUGGAUGUGAAAUCCCCGGGCUCAACCUGGGAACUGCAUCCAAAACUGGCGAGCUAGAGUAUGGUAGAGGGUGGUGGAAUUUCCUGUGUAGCGGUGAAAUGCGUAGAUAUAGGAAGGAACACCAGUGGCGAAGGCGACCACCUGGACUGAUACUGACACUGAGGUGCGAAAGCGUGGGGAGCAAACAGG